AUUGAACGCUGGCGGAAUGCUUUACACAUGCAAGUCGAACGGCAGCACGGGGGCAACCCUGGUGGCGAGUGACGAACGGGUGAGUAAUACAUCGGAACGUGCCCGGUCGUGGGGGAUAACGUAGCGAAAGUUACGCUAAUACCGCAUACGAUCUGAGGAUGAAAGCGGGGGACCUUCGGGCCUCGCGCGAUCGGAGCGGCCGAUGUCAGAUUAGGUAGUUGGUGGGGUAAAGGCCUACCAAGCCGACGAUCUGUAGCUGGUCUGAGAGGACGACCAGCCACACUGGGACUGAGACACGGCCCAGACUCCUACGGGAGGCAGCAGUGGGGAAUUUUGGACAAUGGGCGCAAGCCUGAUCCAGCCAUUCCGCGUGCAGGACGAAGGCCUUCGGGUUGUAAACUGCUUUUGUAUGGAACGAAAAGGCUCUGGCUAAUACCUGGGGCUCAUGACGGUACCGUAAGAAUAAGCACCGGCUAACUACGUG
rnacentral:rRNA from 1 species